UGAGAGAGAGUUCAGAGUACGUGAAACUGCUCAGAGGCAAACGGGUGGGCCCUCGAAAUCCUUCCGCGGAGGGAUUCAGUCGGACGCCGGGGAGCUGGCGGCCCGCUAACUUCGGACCGGAAAAAGGCCGGGCGCGCAGCGGUCAUCUCCGGCGUCCGACGCACUUCCUUCCGCGCCACGGACGCCGCAACCGGUCGGGUAGCAGCGAGAGUCGGCCAUGAGGGUCUGCGCCGGCAGGUGGCCGGGGGACGGAGCGGGCCGCCUCCCCGGUCGUUAGCCAGCGGACGCCGCGGCGCGACACCCGACCGAGGCCGAGGUUCCGGUCACCGGAACCAGCCGUGCCCUGACACCAGCGGGGCCCACGUCACGCGCGUCGUCCCUCGGCCGCGUCACUCUCCGAGUGGUCGGCCGGCGGCGGACCCGGUUGGACGGGGCGUGCCCGCGGACAGGCGCCCACGGUUGGCGGCGAGCAGGUCGGUCACCCACCCGACCCGUCUUGAAACACGGACCAAGGAGUCUAACAUGUGCGCGAGUCACGGGGUCUUGUUCAGGCCCAGGGGCGCAAUGAAAGUGAACUAUCCAGUCGGGACUCCCACCUCGGUUCGGACGCACCGACGGCCCGUCCGAACCGCCACGCGCGGUCGGGCGGAGUCGGAGCGCACACGUUGGGACCCGAAAGAUGGUGAACUAUGCCCGGGCAGAACGAAGCCAGAGGAAACUCUGGUGGAGGUUCGCAGCGGUUCUGACGUGCAAAUCGAUCGUCAGACCCGGGUAUA
rnacentral:rRNA from 1 species